rnacentral:rRNA from 1 species
GAUGAACGCUGGCGGCGUGCCUAAUACAUGCAAGUCGAGCGAACAGACGAGGAGCUUGCUCCUCUGACGUUAGCGGCGGACGGGUGAGUAACACGUGGAUAACCUACCUAUAAGACUGGGAUAACUUCGGGAAACCGGAGCUAAUACCGGAUAAUAUAUUGAACCGCAUGGUUCAAUAGUGAAAGACGGUUUUGCUGUCACUUAUAGAUGGAUCCGCGCCGCAUUAGCUAGUUGGUAAGGUAACGGCUUACCAAGGCAACGAUGCGUAGCCGACCUGAGAGGGUGAUCGGCCACACUGGAACUGAGACACGGUCCAGACUCCUACGGGAGGCAGCAGUAGGGAAUCUUCCGCAAUGGGCGAAAGCCUGACGGAGCAACGCCGCGUGAGUGAUGAAGGUCUUCGGAUCGUAAAACUCUGUUAUUAGGGAAGAACAAAUGUGUAAGUAACUAUGCACGUCUUGACGGUACCUAAUCAGAAGACCACGGCUAACUACG